CAUGAUUCUCCGAUCACCGGGAUCAUAAAUUUUCAGUCAAUAAGCAAAGAGAACAGUCGAAAAAAUAUCAAAAGCAGUCACCAUAAUCGAAAUUGUCACCGGAGAAGCUAGAACAAGAGAAAUGGAGAAAUGGAAGAAAGAGAAAUAAAGUGUGGAGAAGUUUUCUCGCUGGUGCAUAUAUAUAGGGGCUUGAGCAUUUAUUGCAUACAGAAACCGAAGCGGAUGCAUCGGUAACUGAAGAAUUAAUUACUUUGAUUAAGGCAGGUCAGAUAAAGAGGAAAAUUCUAGAAUGGGAGAGAUCGGAAAGCAAUGAGAGACCCAAUAUGAGAAAGAUCGGAAAAGAAGAGGGUCAUAACAGAGAGAUCGGAAGGAAGAGAGAUCGGAAAGCACGAAGAAGAUGAGAUGGCUUCCAAUAACUCUCUACAUAAUCAGAGCCGAGGUAGUUAA
rnacentral:misc_RNA from 1 species